rnacentral:lncRNA from 1 species
GGGCACACAUAGAGGAAAGACCACCUGAGGACACAGGAGCUGGUGGGCGUCUGCAUGCUAGGGAGAGAGGCCUCAGGAGAAACCAACCCUGUGGACACCUUGAUGUCAGACCUCCAGCCUCCAGAACCAUGAGAGAGAAAUUUCCAUUGUUUACAAGCUCCCCGGUUGAUGUAUUUUGUAGGGCAGCUCUAGAAAAGUAACACAUUACCCAAAGACAGGUGUUGGCCCUCAUUUUUGCUUUUGGGAGAGUGAUUCUCACGAUUUAGGCAGACAGAGAAGUUUCCUUUUAAACCUAGUGCCUGGAACAGAAUUUUUUUAAACUUAGAAUUCCAUUGAUAAAAUUGAAGAUGAUUUGGUUGAAUUCAAAGUCGAGGCUGAAAAUAAUUAAAAUGGGAAAGCAUUAAAAAAAUGGUGAAGGCAAGAUUGAAAUUGUGGGAAAAGGUGAGAAAGAAAGCCGAUAAAGCCAAUAGUAAUGGAGCAAAUAAGGAAUAAAAUCACUUUAGGCAAAGAAAACUCCUUUCUUUCAG